GACGAACGCUGGCGGCGUGCUUAACACAUGCAAGUCGAACGGAAAGGCCUCUUUCGGGGGGUACUCGAGUGGCGAACGGGUGAGUAACACGUGAGUAACCUGCCCUUGACUUUGGGAUAACUUCAGGAAACUGGGGCUAAUACCGGAUAGGAGCUCCUGCUGCAUGGUGGGGGUUGGAAAGUUUCGGCGGUUGGGGAUGGACUCGCGGCUUAUCAGCUUGUUGGUGGGGUAGUGGCUUACCAAGGCUUUGACGGGUAGCCGGCCUGAGAGGGUGACCGGCCACAGUGGGACUGAGAUACGGCCCAGACUCCUACGGGAGGCAGCAGUGGGGAAUAUUGCACAAGGGGUGGAAGCCUGAUGCAGCAACGCCGUGUGCGGGAUGACGGCCUUCGGGUUGUAAACCGCUUUCGCUCAUGACGAAGCUUUGUGUGACGGUAGUGGGUAAAGAAGCACCGGCUAACUACGUG
rnacentral:rRNA from 1 species